rnacentral:rRNA from 1 species
UACAGAGGGUGCAAGCGUUAAUCGGAAUUACUGGGCGUAAAGCGUGCGUAGUCGGUUAUUUAAGUCGGGUGUGAAAGCCCCGGGCCCAACCUGGGAAUUGCAUUCGAUACUGGAUAGCUAGAGUUCGGCAGAGGGAAGCGGAAUUUCCGGUGUAGCGGUGAAAUGCGUAGAUAUCGGAAGGAACAUCAGUGGCGAAAGCGGCUUCCUGGACCAGAACUGACGAUCAGGCACGAAAGCGUGGGGAGCGAACAGG